ACGGGUGAGUAACACGUGGGCAACCUGCCUGUAAGACUGGGAUAACUUCGGGAAACCGAAGCUAAUACCGGAUAGGAUCUUCUCCUUCAUGGGAGAUGAUUGAAAGAUGGUUUCGGCUAUCACUUACAGAUGGGCCCGCGGUGCAUUAGCUAGUUGGUGAGGUAACGGCUCACCAAGGCAACGAUGCAUAGCCGACCUGAGAGGGUGAUCGGCCACACUGGGACUGAGACACGGCCCAGACUCCUACGGGAGGCAGCAGUAGGGAAUCUUCCGCAAUGGACGAAAGUCUGACGGAGCAACGCCGCGUGAGUGAUGAAGGCUUUCGGGUCGUAAAACUCUGUUGUUAGGGAAGAACAAGUACGAGAGUAACUGCUCGUACCUUGACGGUACCUAACCAGAAAGCCACGGCUAACUACGUGCCAGCAGCCGCGGUAAUACGUAGGUGGCAAGCGUUAUCCGGAAUUAUUGGGCGUAAAGCGCGCGCAGGCGGUUUCUUAAGUCUGAUGUGAAAGCCCACGGCUCAACCGUGGAGGGUCAUUGGAAACUGGGGAACUUGAGUGCAGAAGAGAAAAGCGGA
rnacentral:rRNA from 1 species